rnacentral:rRNA from 1 species
UACGUAGGUGGCAAGCGUUGUCCGGAAUCAUUGGGCGUAAAGAGCGCGUAGGUGGCUUGUCAGGUCCGAUGUGAAAACCUGGGGCUCAACCCCAGGCCUGCAUCGGAAACCGGCUUGCUAGAGUCUGGGAGAGGAGAGUGGAAUUCCUGGUGUAGCGGUGAAAUGCGUAGAUAUCAGGAGGAACACCGGUAGCGAAGGCGGCUCUCUGGAACAGUACUGACGCUGAGGCGCGAAAGCUAGGGGAGCGAACAGG